rnacentral:rRNA from 1 species
UACGUAGGGUGCGAGCGUUGUCCGGAUUUAUUGGGCGUAAAGAGCUCGUAGGCGGUUUGUCGCGUCGGCCGUGAAAUCUCCACGCUUAACGUGGAGCGUGCGGUCGAUACGGGCAGACUUGAGUUCGGUAGGGGAGACUGGAAUUCCUGGUGUAGCGGUGAAAUGCGCAGAUAUCAGGAGGAACACCGGUGGCGAAGGCGGGUCUCUGGGCCGAUACUGACACUGAGAGACGAAAGCUAGGGGAGCGAAUGGG